rnacentral:rRNA from 1 species
GACAGAGGUGCCGAGCGUUAGGCGGAAUCACUGGGCUUAAAGCGUGUGUAGGCGGAUCCGUAAGUACCUUGUGAAAUCCCACGGCUCAACCGUGGAACUGCUUGGUAUACUGCGGGUCUUGAGCCACCUAGGGGCGAGCGGAACAAGUGGUGGAGCGGUGAAAUGCGUAGAUAUCACUUGGAACGUCAAUGGUGAAAACAGCUCGCUGGGGGUGUGCUGACGCUGAGGAGCGAAAGCGUGGGGAGCGAACAGG